rnacentral:lncRNA from 1 species
GUACCUACGGCGUCGUAAACAACCAGCAAAAGUAGAAUUAUUUUAUUUAUAAUGAAAUGACAGGAAAAGGAAGAAGUACAGUUCGCAGUGAGGUAGAUGAGUGUUUGUUGCAAUGGACAUCAAGAGAAAUGCAACUUGUACGACUUCACGAGGAAAUACUGUCAAGAAGGGAAGGCCCUCCUUAAUUGUUCACUAGCCUAUAGUCAGACUCAGAAUACAGGUACAUUAAAUGGUGCUCAAACCUCAGAGCAGGCCUACAUCAGAAAUCAUAGAUUAUUACAGGAUAUAAGAGGAGCAAAAGAAGAAUGUUUAUGAUUCGCUGAAUGCAGCACCAACUCCUAGGUUCAUGACACUUCAGAAGAACUACUGGGCCAUGGUGAAAAGCCAGGUACCAAUGUGGGAACAGGAUUUAGGAAUACAGAGACCAAGCAGUGAAAGAGCUACACCCAGAGAUGCUGGAACCAGGCCCAAGACCAAACAUAGCCCAUCUACAGGAACUAAAUCUGUGGGUAUACAGCCCAAGAAAAAACAGACACGGACACAGCAAGACGCUAGACAAAAAUCUACAAAAUCUAAAUAGUCAACAAUUUUAAAGUGGAUUCACAAGGUCAUUUAAAGUGUAUGGAGUUUUAGCUAUUGGAAAAAUACAAGAAAGGGUAAUAAAAUGGUAGAGCUAUUGCACUCACACAUUUGGAUGUGGCAGCCUAAAUGGAUAUUGUUACGUUUUUGUAUGUAAGCUGGUGUCUCAGUAACCAAUGAAACUUCACACUUACAGUGAUAAACAGACUUGCAAUGCAUACAUUACUUUUACUUCUUUUUUUUUUUUUUACAUAAUUAUGCCCCUUUUCCAGCAUGGCAAUUUUUAGUUAAGUUUUUGUGUGUUAUCUGGUGUCACAGUAGCCACUGAUGAGAAAGGAUUUAAACUUCACAGACUUGUUCACUGUGAUGAUCUGACAUGCUCUGCACAUGUUCCAUAACUCUGCUUUGCAUUUUUUCUUAAAUACAGUGUAUGGUGUAUGUAUUUGAAGAAUGUACUUCAAGCUGGUAGAAUAGUUCAAACAUGAUUGUUGGUGACAUAAUUAUGAUAAUAGAAGGUAAAAAAGUAUUGAUACUAGUAAUUCAUUUGAGAGGAAUGUAGAUAAUUAUAACCUAGUGUUCUUAUUUUUCAAAAGAUAUUGGUAAUGAAACAUACACUGUAAAAUCUGAAAUAUGUAAAUAUUGCAAACUGGGUGUUAUUUGUGUUUUUUUUUCACAGUUCAAUAGUUAAAAGUGACAAAUUAGGAACUCACAGUUUGAUACAUGUUAUAUUUUAGGUGCUGUUGCUUGUUGAUAUACAAGACUGUUUUAAAUUUUUAUUUUUGAAUGUAUUAAACCAGUGUGUGACUGUGUUACAUUUUUCACAAAUAUUCACAAAAUUUAAACCAUCACAAACGUUUGUAAAUAUUUUUGAAAAGAAGUCUGUAAUGUAAUUUGCACCAGUUGACAUAUCAAGAAAGCAUAAAUAUUCGAAAAAUUAAAUACUUAAAGGUUUUAGUCAAAGUUAAACUGUUUUGAAAUCUGUCCUGUCCAGUAUUGUACUGAAUUAAUUGUAUAGGUUUUAUCUUGAAUUUUGUAAGCACUACUGCAAAUUUCUUCUUUGUCUCUGAUUCUAUCUAUCUAAACUGUCUAUCUAUCGCAUAAUUGAACCACUUGUAAUUAGGAUCCCUUUAUCUUAGAAUAUUGUGAUAUACAUGUAUAUGUAAUAUUUUGAACUGUACCUCAUAUUACUGUGUAAUCUUGUUUAUAUUGUGUUCAAUGUUAUAAUAAUUGUUAUAAUUUUACUUUUAGUUAGCUAUAUUGGGCACUUACCAGAAUGUAGUUUAGCUUGCCAGAGUCAGAGACUCAGUGAGCUUGUAGUAUAGGUGGGUACACUGGCAUACAUCUGGCAUAAACAUUUUUUCUUUGAAUGAAUAAAUAGAUCUUCAUUAUACUUGGACUGUAGCAUCCCUAUAUGGACCUCUGUCAGGCUAUACAAAUGCAUUUGCCCCUUUGCAUACAAGGGCCACAAGAGUCAAAGAUAGAUAUACAGACAAACUUUAUUCACACAAACUCAACAAGGCCAACAAAAUCUGUUUGAGUAAUCGACAGUUCAAGCCAUUAAACACUACAUUAUUUAAGGAUUUUGCCAUGACCUGACAAUGAGUUCCAUCAUUGGGUGGUGUUCUAUUUAUCCGGGUUUAAGCAAAGGCAGCUCGACUGUACAUGUUAACAAGUUUUAUGAUCAUCCAAUAAUGAACUGAUGCAUUUUUAACCUUGUUCUGUAGUUACUGGGCAUGUGUCAGUAACUAUGCGAAAUUAUGAUGAUUUUUAGGAAGUCUUUUAUUUUGGCUAACUUAAAAUUUCCAUCAUUGGCGGAUUUAUUGUCAUGACUUGUCACGUUUAGAUAGUGACAGAACAGUUGCAGCUUCAUUGAACUGUUUUUAAAAUGUCAUGCAGAAUGUAAGAAAACGUUGUUGACUGAUUUUGUACCAUUAUUUUUUUUUU